GGCAAGGCCAUCUUAAGUGCAUAUUCUUGUUGCCCAUGUGUUUUAAAGGUAGACUAUGUAACAUAUUUACCGGUUUAUUUUCAGAAUUCGUGCUGCUCAUUCACAAAUGAGUACUUACCACCACCAUCAAAUUCUAAGUAUUAUGACUGGGAAAAUGACACUUUUCAUACAUGAAAAGCUGGCUCUUCAUGUCUGCCAUUUUGCUUUUCCAGUAAUAUACAUUUUUAGCUGCAAAACAUCUUGUAUUUUGGUCAUACUAGUAAAUUAGUUUAUUACUUCAUGUUCAUGAGAAGAUCUAAUUUGGGAAUGGGCAGCACAGUUGCAAUGAGCAGCACAGCUGCAAUACCUACUCUGACCACAAUCCUACAUGGUGCACCUACAAGACUUGUCAUGCUCGCUUUCACUUGUUGAGGAUCACAAAAAUGCCUUGGAGUCAGAUGUCACCCACUAUAUGUUCCCAUCAUGUAUGUAGCUUUGGUGUAAUUAAUUUGAAGGACUAUGUGGAGACGCCUACUCCAGUCACACAAUUAAUACAUACAUUAGAUGUUUGAGGACAGCAUGUACAUGACAGACUACCUGUCUCUUUUGUGAAAUGUUUUAAAGUGAAUUUACGGUUUUAUUACUUUUCGGGUAUGGGGUAGAACUUCACUAUUCCUGACUGAUUUAUUUGCUUGUGUAUCCCAUACAGUUUGGUUUGGCAGUCUGGCCUGUCAUAGUCUGUCCAUAUUCCUGUCUGGCUGACAUCCUCAUCUGACUGGUGAACGUAAAUUAUCAUCAUCGGGAGAGACUUGCUUCGAUUAAAAUAUGCAGAUGCCAAUGAUGUUGAGGGUUGUUGAUGAGGGAGACUACCGUAGGCUUGAACUAGACCCAGUGCCAACAAAUCUGACCAAGCUGUAUGACACAAUUCGACAAGCAUUUGGGAUAUCUAGAGAUUUUCGUAUUCAAUUC